GAUUAAGCCAUGCAUGUGUAAGUAUAAAUAGUUAACUUUGAAACUGCGAAUGGCUCAUUAUAUCAGUUAUAGUUUAUUUGAUGAAGAAUACUAAUUGGAUAACCGUAGUAAUUCUAGAGCUAAUACAUGUAUAAAGUCUUGUAGACUGCAUUUAUUAGAAUGAAAACCAUAGGUUUCGGCCUAUUCGUGAGUAAUAAUAACUAAUCAUAUCGUAUGCUUAUGUAACGAUGUGUCUUUCAAGUUUCUGCCCUAUCAGCUUACGAUGCAGUCUACCAUG
rnacentral:rRNA from 1 species